rnacentral:rRNA from 1 species
UACGAAGGGUGCAAACGUUGCUCGGAAUCAUUGGGCGUAAAGCGCACGUAGGCGGCCUGAUAAGUCGGAUGUGAAAUCCCUCGGCUCAACUGAGGACGUGCAUUCGAAACUGCCAGGCUCGAGUAUGGAAGAGGGUCGCGGAAUUCCUGGUGUAGCAGUGAAAUGCGUAGAUAUCGAGAGGAACACCAGUGGCGAAGGCGAGUCUCUGGACAUUUCCUGACGCUGAGGCACGAAAGCCAGGGGAGCAAACGGG